UAUCCUCAAUUAUUCAACGCAUAAUGUGUGCCCAUAUCUUUUCUGGUCUGGUCCAGUUCGCUCCAGUCCAAAAGCCAUCAUAAUCACAAAAUAAAUAAGCCACCAGUUUUUCACCUGUCACUAAUUCCUACGAUUCUCUCUCGGUCUCUACCCCCGUCAACCUUUCACUGUUAUUUCUUCCACGGACAGAAAUAAUGGCUUUAGAGAUCUGUGUCAAAGCUAUUGUUGGUGCCCCUAAUAUUCUCGGAUAUUGCCUAAUUUGCCAGAGAAUUCUAUCGAGUCUGGAAGAGAAGAAAAUUCCAUACAAGUCUCAUCUCAUCAAUCUGGGUGAUAAACUUCGUGGUUUUUGGAGAUAAGCCCGGAAGGAAAGGUCCUAGUGGUGAAAAUUGAUGACAAAUGGGUUGCAGAUUCUAACGUCAUUGCUGGUAUUUUAGAGGAGA